AGAAUCUCAACAUACAGUCCUCAGCAGCUUUAGCAUGGGCAACAAAUUAAGUCUCUGUAAAAGGCCCAAAGGACAGGGUUUGGUGAGAUUCUGGAGAGCUGGAAACAUGGAGGUUGACAGGAAUGUAAAGAAGAACUCAUUUACAUGCCAGGAGGGUGGAACACCCCAAUUCCAUGAGGAUAACUGCUCCUGUACUCCAGACCUCACCCCAUGUGUCUCUUCAUCUGGCUGGUUAUUUGUCCUUUAAGAUCUCCUUACUCAACCAGUAAAUGUGUCUUUACAUUGUUUUAGUCUUGAACUAGAAGAUGAAAGCAUCAAAUAAAGAAAUAUACUGUGGGUAUAUGGAUUACAAAAAAAGCAUCAAAUGUGAUCAACAUGCCUUCCCCUGUCUCCUUCGUGGUAUUUUUAUAAAGACACAGUGUUUGAAGGACAUUAAUCUAAAUGACGGGUCACAGGAAAUGAAUGUGAUAACAACAGGAAGUGUAUUAUGGAG
rnacentral:lncRNA from 1 species